CCUACGGGAGGCAGCAGUAGGGAAUUUUGCGCAAUGGGCGGAAGCCUGACGCAGCAACGCCGCGUGUGCGAUGAAGCCCUUCGGGGUGUAAAGCACUGUCAGUAGGGACGAAUUUUGACGGUACCUACAGAGGAAGCACCGGCUAACUCCGUGCCAGCAGCCGCGGUAAU
rnacentral:rRNA from 1 species